ACGGCGAAAAUAAUACCCCCACGAGAAGUGAGAACAUCGUGUGACAAAAGCUCAACGCGGGAAACGUCUUCAUCGUGGAGGAGAACAAAACUGCGGAGGUUACAAAKGCAAAGAUCACACGCAAAACUUUGAAAGAUUGUGUUCACGCUCUGAACUUCAACUGUUGAUUUUUUUUUUUUUUUUUACAUGAAGAUCAGUAACAUCAGAGCAUAGACGCGGAAGACACAGUCCUACACAAAUCACCUUUUGUGCUGUCUGAAACAGACCUCAACUUAUAGGCCAGUUGUUCACCACACAGGAAGUUGUUUUAGGUUGCUGCAGUGGGCUCAGUUCAGCUCCGGCAGACACAACUGAAGCCACCCRAGUGAUUCUGAAUGAGCCUGAGAACAGAGAAAAAUCUGAAAAAUAUUUAUUUCAGCCAACAAAUACAACCCAAAGAGAAGAAGACCAAAAAAGUCCACUUCUAGGAAAACAAGAACAGGUCAGAAAUGUGGUAACUUUGCCAACAUGAUGGAGCCUGAGUACGAUGUGGUGGAUGACCAUGAGGUAGUGCACAGUGUGCGCAUCCUUCCUGCCAGGCCCAUAAACGAGGACAGAGAGUAUGCAGACAGGAAUCCUCCGUGGUCAUCCUGCAACCAGRGUGUUUCAGCAGUCGCC